UACGGAGGGAGCUAGCGUUGUUCGGAAUUACUGGGCGUAAAGCGCGCGUAGGCGGCUAUUCAAGUCGGGGGUGAAAGCCCGGGGCUCAACCCCGGAACUGCCCUCGAAACUAGAUAGCUAGAAUCUUGGAGAGGCGAGUGGAAUUCCGAGUGUAGAGGUGAAAUUCGUAGAUAUUCGGAAGAACACCAGUGGCGAAGGCGACUCGCUGGACAAGUAUUGACGCUGAGGUGCGAAAGCGUGGGGAGCAAACAGG
rnacentral:rRNA from 1 species